rnacentral:lncRNA from 13 species
GACGCGAGAGUCAGCGAGGGAACACUAAUACGAACCAUCCGCGACCGACGACGGUUUCGUCGUUUAUCGGUGCGACGUUAUAUUUUUCGCCGCUUCGCUAACCUUGAAGGUCAGGGGCUCGCAGGGACUUUCAACUUCGAUAGUGGAUGAUUAUACGUACGUGUCUUAUAUCGUUUUAUCACGGAACGGGAUAAUAGCGUACGGCAUGAAGAGAAUGGACGAGGCGGUAUCGGGCACAUGUACAACGGAGCAGGGGCUCUCAACUGAAACUUUCAGAUAUACGGGACCUACAGUUGAAACGUCGGUUCUGAACAGCCUAAUUUAAAGGCGUUUUCAUAGCAAGAUACUCUCGAUGGUCUGCCAUUGCCUUCCAAGAGAUAGCGAUCCAAUAAAAUCAGAUGUUUCUGAUCAGUGGGAUUUGAACCCGGAUCUUCGACACAGAGAGCAAACGCACGACUCUCUGCGAUCGUUACAGAAAAUGUGUAAAUCUGUAAAUAAAUAAAUAAAUAUAUAAAUAUAAACAAAUAAAAA